rnacentral:rRNA from 1 species
UUUGAGGUAAAGGAGCAGUUCUGACCCGCGACGCCGCGUGCGGGAUGAAGGCCUUCGGGUUGUAAACCGCUUUCAGCAGGGAAGAAGCGAAAGUGACGGUACCUGCAAAAGAAGCACCGGCUAACUAUGUGCCAGCAGCCGCGGUAAUACAUAGGGUGCAAGCGUAAAACCGGAAUUAUUGGGCGUAAAGAGCUCGUAGGUGGUUCGUCACGUCGGAUGUGAAAAUCUGGGGCUCAACCCCAGACCUGCAUUCGAUACGAGCGAGCUAGAGUUUGGUAGGGGAGACUGGAAUUCCUGGUGUAGCGGUGGAAUGCGCAAAUAUGGGGAGGGAAGGGGGAAUGGCGAAGGGGGGGUCUCUGGGCCAAUACUGACACUGAGGAGCCAGA